CGCGUGAGCGAUGAAGGCCUUCGGGUCGUAAAGCUCUGCCCUCAAAGAAGAUAAUGACGGUACUUGAGGAGGAAGCCCCGGCUAACUACGUGCCAGCAGCCGCGGUAAUACGUAGGGGGCUAGCGUUAUCCGGAAUUACUGGGCGUAAAGGGUGCGUAGGUGGUUUCUUAAGUCAGAGGUGAAAGGCUACGGCUCAACCGUAGUAAGCCUUUGAAACUGGGAAACUUGAGUGCAGGAGAGGAGAGUGGAAUUCCUAGUGUAGCGGUGAAAUGCGUAGAUAUUAGGAGGAACACCAGUUGCGAAGGCGGCUCUCUGGACUGUAACUGACACUGAGGCACGAAAGCGUGGGGAGCAAACAGGAUUAGAUACCCUGGUAGUCCACGCCGUAAACGAUGAGUACUA
rnacentral:rRNA from 1 species